GAUAGUUUAGUUGGUCAUCACGCCAGACUAGUAACCAUGGAGACGUGGGUUUGAUUCUCCCCGAGAACCU